AUCAUAUGKUAUGCUCAGUAGCGGCGAGUGAGCGGCAAAAGCUCAAAUUUGAAAUCUGGCGUCUUUGGCGUCCGAGUUGUAAUUUGAAGAAGGUAUCUUUGGGCCCGGCUCUUGUCUAUGUUCCUUGGAACAGGACGUCACAGAGGGUGAGAAUCCCGUGCGAUGAGAUGACCCGGGUCUGUGUAAAGUUCCUUCGACGAGUCGAGUUGUUUGGGAAUGCAGCUCUAAGUGGGUGGUAAAUUCCAUCUAAAGCUAAAUAUUGGCGAGAGACCGAUAGCGAACAAGUACAGUGAUGGAAAGAUGAAAAGAACUUUGAAAAGAGAGUGAAAAAGUACGUGAAAUUGUUGAAAGGGAAGGGCUUGAGAUCAGACUUGGUAUUUUGCAUGCUGCUCUCUCGGGGGCGGCCGCUGCGGUUUACCGGGCCAGCAUCGGUUUGGAGCGGCAGGAUAAUGGCGGAGGAAUGUGGCACGGCUUCUGCUGUGUGUUAUAGCCUCUGACGAUACUGCCAGCCUAGACCGAGGACUGCGGUUUUUACCUAGGAUGUUGGCAUAAUGAUCUUAAGUCGCCCGUCUUGAMCMMCGGACC
rnacentral:rRNA from 1 species